AUUGAACGCUGGCGGCAGGCCUAACACAUGCAAGUCGAACGGUAACAGGAAACAGCUUGCUGUUUCGCUGACGAGUGGCGGACGGGUGAGUAAUGUCUGGGAAACUGCCCGAUGGAGGGGGAUAACUACUGGAAACGGUAGCUAAUACCGCAUAACGUCGCAAGACCAAAGAGGGGGACCUUCGGGCCUGCUGCCAUCGGAUGUGCCCAGAGGGGAUUAGCUAGUAGGUGGGGUAACGGCUCACCUAGGCGACGAUCCCUAGCUGGUCUGAGAGGAUGACCAGCCACGCUGGAACUGAGACACAGCCCAGACUCCUACGGGAGGCAGCAGUGGGGAAUAUUGCACAAUGGGCGCAAGCCUGAUGCAGCCAUGCCGCGUGUAUGAAGAAGGCCUUCGGGUUGUAAAGUACUUUCAGCGGGGAGGAAGGGAGUAAAGUCAAUACCUUUGCUCAUUGACGUUACCCGCAGAAGAAGCACCGGCUAACUCCGUGCCAGCAGCCGCGGUAA
rnacentral:rRNA from 1 species